CUCAACCGACCCCCGGCAGGAUUCCAACUCCUGCACUCUUCUCUCGAGAUCUUUCAGGUACUCUAUGGUGUCAUCAAGGACGGAUGCCUUGUCAACCUGAUGAAAGAAAAAGUAAUUUAUGAGCGAUGAAGAAGAAGAUUCGAAGAAUUGCCAUAAAUUACCUUGCUGACCGAAGGAAUUAGUGAUCUCAGAACAAGAAACUUCUCAUUCAGCUUCUCUCUUCUCUUCCUCUCUGACAGCACAUGACUUGCACGGGCGCCUCCUUCUGGUCUCCAAAAUUUCUCCGGUAGCCCAUUUUUCACUCGACGCUUCAGCCGGUGACCACCACCCAGCCAUGCUCUAUCCAUUAAGAUCUUCUUCAACAGUUCUUGUGGGGCUCUAACGCAUGGCUUUGGGGUGUUCAUGCUUUUUCUCCAGGUUAUGAAGCUGGAUCCGUGCGAAACCCUCGGAAAGCAUGAAUCAGGUUUUGCACGUUUUGAGUUCCGCAAGAUGUUAGCAGAGCCAUCAAGAUCCAGUGACAUGAGCAUCUGAUUUCUUGUUCUCUCCCCCACCGUAGAAGAGACAACUUUCUGGGCAUUAACAAAGG
rnacentral:lncRNA from 1 species